CCUACGGGUGGCAGCAGUGGGGAAUAUUGGGCAAUGGGCGCAAGCCUGACCCAGCAACGCCGCGUGAAGGAAGAAGGCUUUCGGGUUGUAAACUUCUUUUCUUAGGGACGAAGAAAGUGACGGUACCUCAGGAAUAAGCCACGGCUAACUACGUGACAGCAGCCGCGGUAAUACGUAGGUGGCAAGCGUUAUCCGGAUUUAUUGGGUGUAAAGGGUGCGUAGGCGGAUUUUUAAGUCAGCGGUAAAAUGUCCGGGCUCCACCCGGGCCGGCCGUUGAAACUGGGGAUCUUGAGUGGGCGAGAAGUAUGCGGAAUGCGUGGUGUAGCGGUGAAAUGCAUAGAUAGCACGCAGAACUCUGAUUGAGAAGGCAGCAUACCGGCGCCCGACUGACGCUGAGGCACGAAAGCGUGGGGAUCGAACAGGAUUAGAUACCCCGGUAGUC
rnacentral:rRNA from 1 species